rnacentral:rRNA from 1 species
ACNGRSRAHGCUGUUAAAGGCUUAGAAGAAGCCCGGHUAACUCCGUGACAACAGCCGCGGUAAUACGGAGGGGGCUAGCGUUGUUCGGAAUUACUGGGCGUAAAGCGCACCUAGGCGGACCGGAAAUUCACGAKGUGAAAUCCCAGGGCUCAACCUUKGGAACUGCCUUCCAACUCCUCCUCUUGAGGUCGAGAGAGGUGAGUGGAAUUCCGAGUGUAGAGGUGAAAUUCGUAGAUAUUCGGAGGAACACCAGUGGCGAAGGGCGGCUCAUCUGGCUCGAUACUGACGCUGAGGUGCGAAAGCUGUGGGGAGCAAACAAGGAUUGG